GAUGAACGCUGGCGGCGUGCUUAACACAUGCAAGUCGAACGGUGAAGGCGGAGCUUGCUCUGCUGGAUCAGUGGCGAACGGGUGAGUAACACGUGAGCAAUCUGCCCCUGACUCUGGGAUAAGCGCUGGAAACGGCGUCUAAUACUGGAUACGAGCUGCGACGGCAUCUUCAGCAGCUGGAAAGAACUUCGGUCAGGGAUGAGCUCGCGGCCUAUCAGCUUGUUGGUGAGGUAACGGCUCACCAAGGCGUCGACGGGUAGCCGGCCUGAGAGGGUGACCGGCCACACUGGGACUGAGACACGGCCCAGACUCCUACGGGAGGCAGCAGUGGGGAAUAUUGCACAAUGGGCGAAAGCCUGAUGCAGCAACGCCGCGUGAGGGACGACGGCCUUCGGGUUGUAAACCUCUUUUAGCAGGGAAGAAGCGAAAGUGACGGUACCUGCAGAAAAAGCGCCGGCUAACUACGUG
rnacentral:rRNA from 1 species